UCUCUCUCUCUCUCUCUCUCUCUCUAUAUAUAUAUAUAUAUAUAUAUAUAUAUAGAAAGAGUGCAUGGCUCCUACAAUGUCUGAGAAACUAGCAAAGACGGAGACUAUUUUCUGGAAACAAAAAGUACACAAUACAUGCUAGUCAGACCUAUGCCACCUAUCUUCCCUUUGAGAUAUCACUAUUGCAUCAUCUCAUAUUCAUAUAAGAAACUUGACAUCAAUAUCUGAGAAAUUGGAAACUAGCAAGUUGAACAGCGAGAUUAGUAAUGCACUUCCAUGAAUGAUGGUUCCGAACAGGAACCUUCAAGUCACAGACUGAUCACC
rnacentral:lncRNA from 1 species